rnacentral:rRNA from 1 species
AUGCACGCUGGCGGCGUGCCUCACCCCUGCAAGUCGAGCGGCAGCGAGGGGUGCUUGCACCCUGUCGGCGAGCGGCGGACGGCUGAGUAACGCGUGGGAACGUGCCCCAAAGUGAGGAAUAACUGCCCGAAAGGGUAGCUAAUACCGCAUAUUAUCUUCGGAUCAAAGGAUUUAUCCGCUUUGGGAGCGGCUCGCGUCGGAUUAGGUAGUUGGUGAGGUAAUGGCUCACCAAGCCGACGAUCCGUAGCUGGUCUGAGAGGAUGACCAGCCAGACUGGAACUGAGACACGGUCCAGACUCCUACGGGAGGCAGCAGUGAGGAAUCUUCCACAAUGGGCGAAAGCCUGAUGGAGCAACGCCGCGUGCAGGACGAAGGCCUUCGGGUUGUAAACUGCUUUUAUAAGUGAGGAAUAUGACGGUAACUUAUGAAUAAGGAACGGCUAACUACGUG